GAACUUCGAGUAAGAAUAAAAGAUGGAAGUUGUGUGAUCUUGUUAAAUAAGCGAAAAAAGGUGAUCAAAAUUUGUAGAAGACAGCACAUGCACUGACAAUUUAACGGUAUUAUUGAAAAAUAUCCGUGCUUUGUACUUUUUGUGAAGUGUUUGACAGUAUUUAAUCAAGUGUGCAACAAUGAUAAAUACCUGACACUUGCAUCCGAGGAUCAUGGAAGUUGAUAGUGAAAUUGAAUGAGAGAUCGUUCUCUUGAAAAGUGGAAUUUGCAGUGUAGGAAGGGAAGAGGACUGGUAGGAAUAGAAAGGAAGAGGAAACUGAACGCAUCGUUGUCGGGAACUAGUAAAGUUAAAU